rnacentral:misc_RNA from 1 species
GAUGAAGAACGCAGCGAAAUGCGAUACGUAAUGUGAAUUGCAGAAUUCAGUGAAUCAUCGAGUCUUUGAACGCACAUUGCGCCCCCUGGUAUUCCGGGGGGCAUGCCUGUCCGAGCGUCAUUGCUGCCCUCAAGCACGGCUUGUGUGUUGGGCCUCCGUCCUCCUCCCGGGGGACGGGCCCGAAAGGCAGCGGCGGCACCGCGUCCGGUCCUCGAGCGUAUGGGGCUACGUCACCCGCUCUUGUAGGCCCGGCCGGCGCUUGCCGACACAUCAAUCUUUUUUCCAGGUUGACCUCGGAUCAGGUAGGGAUACCCGCUGAACUUAAGCAUAUCAAUAAGCGGAGGA